rnacentral:rRNA from 1 species
CCCUUAGAUGUUCUGGGCCGCACGCGCGCUACACUGAUGCAUUCAACGAGUCUAAAACCUGCUCUGAUAGGGGUGGGUAAUCUUUUGAAUGUGCAUCGUGAUUGGGAUAGAUGAUUGCAAUUUUUCAUCUUCAACGAGGAAUGCCUAGUAAACGCAAGUCAUCAGCUUGCAUUGAUUACGUCCCUGCCCUUUGUACACACCGCCCGUCGCUCCUACCGAUUGAAUGAUCCGAUGAAUAUCAUGGAUUGAGGAUGCAAGCAGGUUCGCCUGUCUUCAUCUUCGAGAAGUGAAGUAAAUCUUAUCAUUUAGAGGAAGGAGAGGUCGUAACA